GCAUGAGUCAGUUUACACAUUCAUCUGAUCACUAGAGGGAGUGAAGAAUCACUUCAGUUCAGUCAAACUGUGCUGAGAAACAAACCAUGAUCUCUUCAUCUUUAGUGCUGCUUCUGGCAGUCAUAUCCUGUAUUGAUUCAUAUGAACUCACUCAGCCUGAGUCUCUGACUGUCCGUCCUGAUGCCACUCUCACUAUCAACUGUAAAGUCUCAUAUUCAGUUACAAGUGAGCAUACAGACUGGAUUCGUCAACCUGCAGGAAAAGCUCUGGAAUGGAUUGGAAUCAUCUGGAGUGAUGGAAGCACAGCCUACAAGGAUUCUCUGAAAAGCAAGUUCAGUAUCAGCAGAGACACUUCCAGUAACACAAUAACACUUCAAGGAAAGAAUAUGCGAGCUGAAGACACAGCUGUGUAUUAUUGUGCCAAAGAAACACAGUGACAGACUCCAACAGACUCCCUGUACAAAAACACCAUCAUCAUAUCACAAAUUAAGUUUUUCUGAUCAUUUUCCAAAGUGUAAUUAAUCACUAAAAAUAAUUUGCACAGAAAUAUGAAACCAAUGAAACUCAACAAUCAUAAAUCUUUGCAGUAUUUCACCAACACAACUUCACCCUUGCUAUUUGCUAGUUCUUUACAAUAUCUGGAAGAUAAGAUUUACAGGUCAUCUUGUUAUUUAACAGUAGCAAAAGACACAAUAUUACCAAAUUUUCCCCCACAGAUAUAAUAUAAAAAAAGAAAAAAAGAUUAUUUAAAUGGAAAUUAAAUGAA